CUCUCUAUAGGCUAAUUGGAUAAACCAAGGUGCUACGAACGCCUAAUUGUCGGUUCGAGUCCGGCUAGAGAGAC
rnacentral:tRNA from 9 species